rnacentral:snoRNA from 1 species
UCGACGAUGAUUUGUUUUAAUUGGAAUUACCAUAUGAUAUUUGACGAGAAUUUUUGGCCGACUAAGG